CACGGGGGUUGCGAGCGUUGUCCGGAAUUACUAGGCGUAAAGGGCAGGCAGGCGGAUCCAUAAGUUUAUCGUUUAAGGCGUCGGCUUAACCGGCGUAGGGCGGUAGAUACUGUGGAUCUGGAAUGCGGUUGGGGAAGACAGAAUUCCUGGUGUAGCGGUGGAAUGCGCAGAGAUCAGGAGGAAUACCGAAGGCGAAGGCAGUCUUCCAAGCCGUUAUUGACGCUCAACUGCGAAGGUGUGAGUAUCAAACAGGAUUAGAUACCCUGGUAGUCCCU
rnacentral:rRNA from 1 species